GAACCAAUCAAAUCAAAGCACCUGUGUUUGGCAGUCACGCACGUGAUUCAAACGGACGAAAAAGGAAGAGUACAGUGGUGGCACGUUUUCUGUCAGUGCGGGGAAUGGUGAAAAUGCUCGGACUCUAAUGAAGGUUUGAGGCCGUCUGCAAAACGUUCAUGAAGAGCCUGGCUUGCUGAAAUUUCUGGCAGGAGUCAGCAGCAGACCUCGUCCUCAACGCCCACUCGCACUCCCUCCAGCUGACUGGCACCAUGGCAACCGAGAGAUCCAGCCAGCCGAGCAGGCAAGGCAGCCAGGGCCCUGUGUGAGUGUGUGUGUGUCCAUAUCUGUGUGUUAAGGUGGGUCUCGCUGAUUUGUCUCUGCAGCCCUUGUUUGUGUGUCUUGUGUGUGUAGCAUUCAUAUGUGCGUGAAGCCUCUCACACUCAUUCCCAGCCAUGUUGUACAUGUGUUAGCUCAUGCAUACAUAC